UACAGAGGGUGCAAGCGUUGUUCGGAAUUACUGGGCGUAAAGCGCGUGUAGGCGGCAAGAUAAGUCGGGUGUGAAAGCUCUCCGGUCAACUGAGGAAGUGCACUCGAUACUGUUUUGCUUGAGUGUCGGAGGGGGUGGCGGAAUUCCCGGUGUAGAGGUGAAAUUCGUAGAUAUCGGGAGGAACACCUGUGGCGAAGGCGGCCACCUGGACGACGACUGACGCUGAGACGCGAAAGCGUGGGUAGCAAACAGG
rnacentral:rRNA from 1 species